rnacentral:rRNA from 1 species
GCAUGGUAACAUGUUCAGCUGACCAAUACUAAUAGAUCGAGGGCUUGACCAAA